UGCGCCUUGCCAGCCCGCCUCAGAAACUUAAAUAGAAUUGACGGGGCCCGCACAAGCAGCGGAGCGUGUGGUUUAAUUUCGAUGAUACGCGAAGAACCUCACCCAGGUUUGACAUGCAUGUGGUACCAAGGUGAAAGCUGAGGGACCCUUCGGGGAGCAUGCACAGGUGUUGCACGGCCGUCGUCAGCUCGUGCCGUGAGGUGUUGGGUUAAGUCCCGCAACGAGCGCAACCCCUGUCGCCAGUUGUAUUUUUCUGGCGAGACUGCCGAGAAAACCUCGGAGGAAGGAGGGGACGAUGUCAGGUCAGCGUGGCCCUUACGCCUGGGGCUACACACACGCUACAAUGGGCAGUACAACGGGUCGCGAAGCCGCGAGGUGGAGCCAAUCCCAUCAAAGCUGUCCUCAGUUCGGAUUGCAGGCUGAAACCCGCCUGCAUGAAGCCGGAGUUGCUAGUAACCGCAGGUCAGCAUUACUGCGGUGAAUACGUUCCCGGGCCUU
rnacentral:rRNA from 1 species